CACGCGCGGGGAGAGAACUCGAGGCCGCGGGGGGUGAUGGUGGUGGUUGCGGUUGUCGGGCCCGGCCGCACCGCGACCGUGCGGGCGGGCAGAAAUGUGCCUUGGGCUGCUUUGCCCCAGCUCUGCUGGGUCGGUUUCCACAUCAGCAAAGAGGGAACCGCAGUACGCGCACACAUUGCACGGAGGGAGCGCCUGGUACCUCGCUUCAGCUGCUCUCAGGUUCUUGCAGUGGUCCCACAGCUUUGGGAUGCUGGCACGCAGCUCCGCACAGCCCUUCAGCCUCGGGGGCAGGAAGGACGUCAGAGCUACUGCCAUGAUCAAUGCUAAGAAAAAUACGCUUAAAAUUGGAUUUAUCAGCUGUGGGGGGAAUACCAAAAGCACGCUCACCCACCACCGCGCUGCCCAUCUCUGUACGCAUUAAACUCUGCCGUGUGGUGCAAGGACAGCAGGAUGAGUCACAGAGCCUUGAGCUGGAGGGAGCAGCGCCCAGCUGACCCCUCUGGUGGAGCUCAUUGUUUCUCCUCUCCCCCUCCCCAAUCUCAAACUAGGAAAUAAAACUAUAAAACUUCCACAA